AUCGAUACCUGCGGGAGCCCGUUAGCCCGGGCUGAGAGGGUGGCGUCGAAGCCACCGACCGCCUGAACCUGAUCCGGGUAAUUCCGUGCGCAAGGGAAAGGGCACCGGCUCCGCA
rnacentral:ncRNA from 1 species